rnacentral:rRNA from 1 species
UACGAAGGGGGCUAGCGUUGUUCGGAAUCACUGGGCGUAAAGCGCACGCAGGCGGAUUGAUAAGUCAGGGGUGAAAUCCCGGAGCUCAACUUCGGAAUUGCCUUUGAUACUGUCAAUCUCGAGUCCGGGAGAGGUGAGUGGAAUUCCUAGUGUAGAGGUGAAAAUUCGUAGAUAUUAGGAAGAACACCAGUGGCGAAGGCGGCUCACUGGCCCGGUACUGACGCUCAUGUGCGAAAGCGUGGGGAGCAAACAGGG